rnacentral:rRNA from 1 species
UACGGUAGGGACCAAGCGUUGUUCGGAUUUACUGGGCGUAAAGGGCGCGUAGGCGGCAAUUCAAGUCAUCUGUGAAAUCUCCGGGCUUAACCCGGAACGGUCAGGUGAUACUGUUUUGCUAGAGUGCGGAAGGGCAAUCGGAAUUCUCGGUGUAGCGGUGAAAUGCGUAGAUAUCGAGAGGAACACCAGAGGUGAAGACGGGUUGCUGGGCCGACACUGACGCUGACAGCGCGAAAGCCAGGGGAGCAAACAGG